rnacentral:rRNA from 1 species
UACCAGCACCCCGAGUGGUCGGGACGAUUAUUGGGCCUAAAGCCUCCGUAGCCGGUUCUACAAGUCUUCCGUUAAAUCCACCUGCUUAACAGAUGGGCUGCGGAGGAUACUAUAGAGCUAGGAGGCGGGAGAGGCAAGCGGUACUUAGUGGGUAGGGGUAAAAUCCGUUGAUCCAUUGAAGACCACCAGUGGCGAAGGCGGCUUGCCAGAACGCACUCGACGGUGAGGGAUGAAAGCCGGGGGAGCAAACCGG